rnacentral:lncRNA from 1 species
CAAGAACCAAUUUGCCGCCCUGGGCUCCGAGGAAGAGGAGGAAGAGGAAGGAAAUGAGGCUGAAGAACCCGGAAGUCCCGCCCCCAAAUCAGGCCCCGCCCCCGGAAGUCCCGCCCCUAAGUCAGGUCCCGCCCCCGGAAGUCCCGCCCCCGGGGCUGGCAUGGCGGAAGAGGAGGAGGAAGAUGGCGGAAAGAAGGCGCAGAUCAGCAAAAAGGAGCGGAAGAAGAUGAAGAAACAGGUGGG